UGGCGGCGUGCCUAACACAUGCAAGUCGAGCGCGAAAGUCCCUUCGGGGGCGAGUAGAGCGGCGGACGGGUGAGUAAUACAUAGGUAAUCUACCUUCGAGCUUGGGAUAACCCCGCGAAAGUGGGGCUAAUACCGGAUAAGACCACGCAACCAUGUUGCGGGGUAAAAGGUGGCUUAUUUUUUAAAUGAGCUGUCACUUGAGGAUGAGCCUAUGGCCUAUCAGCUUGUUGGCGGGGUAAGAGCCCACCAAGGCUAUGACGGGUAGCUGGUCUGAGAGGACGACCAGCCACACUGGGACUGAGACACGGCCCAGACUCCUACGGGAGGCAGCAGUGGGGAAUAUUGGGCAUUUUUGCUUUAGCCUGACCCAGCGACGCCGCGUGGGCGAUGAAGGCCUUCGGGUUGUAAAGCCCUGUCAUGCGGAAAGAACGACCCUGUGACGCAUACUCACAGGGAGUGACGGUACCGCAGGAGGAAGCACCGGCUAACUCCGUGCCAGCAGCCGCGGUAAUACGGAGGGUGCAAGCGUUGUUCGGAAUUAUUGGGCGUAAAGGGCGCGUAGGCGGAAUGUAAGUCAG
rnacentral:rRNA from 1 species